rnacentral:misc_RNA from 1 species
AUCGACAUCACUUGAAUAAAAAGCAACCAACAGUUCAUUUUAAAAGAGAUAUUUAAACGUGUAGGUGACUAGGUUGGAUUGAACAUGAGUAACCACUUACUGGAACCAGCUUGAUAAAACAUAUCGAUGUAAUUGCAAAACUACAGUAGUUAUCACAACUAGGAUAAGGGGUAUAUUUACAAUUGCAGUUCUUUAUGAGCAACUGGUAGCCUUAUCUAGUAAACAAAGCCACCAAAUGGCACGAUGUGAAUUAAUUAGGAUGUGAAUUCAGGAGUAAAAUUUGUGGCAGAAUCACAGGAUCAGACAGCUGUGGACCACUGUGGCAUAACCGAAGCAGGAAAAACUACUAUGAACACGAUGGAGGCACUCAGGAGAACUCUUACUGCAGUCGUUGCACUUGUUGGUGCUGGUGUCAUCGAGACAGCAAGGAUCUGCCCUCUACAACAGCUGGAACUAGGUAACUCGACAGUGGCGACUAUGUACCUGUGGCAAUGCGUCCAACAGUGCUACUUUGAUUCGUGCCAGCCAUCAUCCUGUAGAGGACCGUUGAAGCUUAAGCUAAGAAAAGGUCACAAUAUAGAUAUGGGAUACCCAAUUAAUGGAUAUGAGGUCCAACUAAAAUUUUAUGGAAGUGGGGGAUGUAUAUCAUAUCGUAAAGAAAAUAGUGUAUGGGACAGGCCAAAGAAGGCAUACCGUUCCCGAGAUGGUGAGUGCAAGUCUACCUGCCUCUUCAACAAUUCUAAAAGACUUCUCCACUGGAGACAAAGUUCCAGGGCCGACAGAUCAUAUUAUGCAAAGGAAUUUUGGAAACUAUUCUUAUCAGCAAUGCCUGUAGGACACAGAGACGAUUUCAUAAGUGAUACUGCUACCACAAUCUCAAUACCAUCUAUUGGACUGUUCCUCAUCAUAACCUAUUCUAUAGACUUCAUGACGUAGGCUUGAUUAGACGACAGGGCGGUAUUCAAAGUCCUAAGUACGGUAUAUGAUACUUCUAUACACAUACAGUUACAUACAUACAAGAAUCGGUUAAUAAUCCUUACAAAGAGGGAUAUAUUGACAUAUACCUUCUGUAACAACAAAGUUGUUGGUGACAUCAAAGUAUCAAAGUGUCGAUGUUCAGCCUGAAUCACGUUUCAAACGACAUCAACU